rnacentral:misc_RNA from 1 species
GAUACUUCUCCAUUCAAAUGUCGCUUGAGUAUGAUAAUUGUCACCGUUUACAUCAAACAAAACCCAUAUUCAAUGUUGUUUGAUCUACCAAAAGGACAUGCUAAAAUUUCUAUGCAAAUUCAAUGCUUACACUUAGGGCAAGAAUGGGAAGUAGUGCUUGCGCGAGCACCACAUUUGUAACAGAAGGCAUGUCCACACCUAUGACCACAUAAAAGGAAGAAGAAUUAAUAAACAGAACCACACUUUAUUACAUAGUUCUAUAUGGCAAUACUUCUUAAUAGGCACUAAUCUAGCAAUACUCUGCCUGCCUCUCCCCAGAUUGCGAAGGCUUUUGUACUUUUGGGGGGCCUGUUGGGGAGGGGGGAAGGUCAGAAACUUGAUUUCAGAUCAGAAUUGACUCACUCAGGAUGAGCAAAUAUGCAGAGGCUGUGGCAAUUACAGAAGGCAUAGUCUCUGAACGAAACAAAAUUAUCAUCUAAAGAGUUCUCAAAAUAUGACAGGUAAGGUCCCUCAGGGACUGCUUAUUUUUGCUGAGUGAAUUUGGUGGGUUUUGUUUUGGGGUGGGUGGGGGGGUGGGGUUUGGGGGUGUAGGAUAAACCAUAGCAAAAUAGUAUCAGUGAUCUCAGAAAUUAAAUAUACCCAUUGAUAGAGUAAGGAAAAAAACCUAAAAAAACAGACCUGCACUUCAUGUAGAAGCAGCCGAGUGAUUUUUCAACAUAGUACUUGCACUUUGGACACCUCCUCCACUUCUUCCUCUUUGCAAGAUCAACCAACAAACUAUCAUCGCCUUUCUUCUUCAGUUUCUGAAACUUUUCACAAUUAAUCUCUGGAUGCCAAGGAACCUUACACUUGACACAAAAUUCUCUUUUGCAGAAAGGACACACUGAAUUUUCAACCUCCACUCUUGUAUCAUUAAUCAGCAAGACCGAGCAAUCCUCAUAAGGACAGUAGAAUUUCUGGGAACAGUCAAUCACAGACUCGCAUAAAGCAAUACCCCACCUAUCAAACACAUCCUUUGGGAGAAUAUCGCGGCAGUAGUCAGGCUCUAAAAUUCCUUCACAGGCAGAUACAGGGCAUGAAAUACUUGUAAUAUUUUCAUCAAGCUUCGAAGUUAUAUAUCUAACCGUGCAUUUAGUACAGUAGAAGUGCGUACAACCCAUGAGAUUGAAGGAGUCAUUUAAGGCUCUUGGUUCCACACAUAUUUCACAAACGAAAGAUGGAAAAUCAGUCUGGGAGUCAGGAGACGGCAAUUCCUCUGAGAUUUUCAUGUUAUCUUUAUUUUCAUCUUCUUCAGCCUCACCGUGACAUGACUUGGGUGAUAAGAAUACAUCUUCAUCAUUGUUGUGGUGCUUUUGCACAAUAUAUUUGGAAAUCACCUUGGACUCAACAACCCCUUUUGGCUUCUUAUGUCUUCUUCGGAAUUUGUAUAACAUGGUACCCACCUUGUUUCCCAUCUUCUAUCUUACUUAUGCUUGAUACCUGAGAACUUCUGCUGCACUAACCUUACAAGAUUCACCUUGCUCUUGUUUGUCAGUUUGUGUUCGCUUAUUGAGCGGAAGAGAACAAACCAUUGAAUCUAAUAAUAAGUGAGCAGAAGAAAUAACAGAAUUAAUUCAAAAGCUCUGUUUAGUUAUUAGGAAGUUUUGGGAUAGCACCGCUUGGUUCUUCAGUAGCAAACAAACAGGAAGUAGGGAUAUAAAGAAAGGGCCAAUCUUGGCAACAAAAUAUGAAAACAAUACCACUUGGCAAGGAGAGAAGAAUCAAGCUUUCAGUUGCUGAGGUGCUAACUAACUACAGGCAGUGCCAAGAAAUCUUUUAAUUUUGGAAAGCUACGUUAAGUUCCCUCCAUGACACUCUUUUCUCAGUA